UCAGCAUUCCAUAAAUGGCAGCUGAUAUUAUUACAGAACUAUCACUGAGAUCUGACUAAACAUCCAGAAAUAUUGUUAAAGCAAGAAGGACAAGUGGCAAGAAUUAAACAGAAACCUCCACAUGGCCCUGGGGUAACACAUGAAGAAAACAGAAGGAUUUUAUGUUUAUAUGUGACUGAACCUUUUACAAGUCACGACCCACCAUUCACCUGGCCAGUCACUGGAAAUCAUUCUUCCCCCUACAUCCGGUCACCAAGUUUCAUCAGCUCUACAUCUGCCUACUUUUGCACAUCU
rnacentral:lncRNA from 1 species